rnacentral:rRNA from 1 species
UACGUAGGGUGCGAGCGUUAAUCGGAAUUACUGGGCGUAAAGCGUGCGCAGGCGGCGCGUUAAGACAGGUGUGAAAGCCCCGAGCUUAACUUGGGAAUUGCGCUUGUGACUGGCGUGCUGGAGUGUGGCAGAGAGAGGUGGAAUUCCACGUGUAGCAGUGAAAUGCGUAGAGAUGUGGAGGAACACCGAUGGCGAAGGCAGCCUCCUGGGCCAGCACUGACGCUCAUGCACGAAAGCGUGGGGAGCAAACAGG